GAUUUAUAAACUAACUAUGCACACGGCGCAAGAGAGAGAACGCGGGAGACUUACACGCUAACUAUAUACAAUAUAUACAGUUCAAGCGAGGGUGGUCGUGCGCGCGCACGCGCAAGUACGCUACCAACGUCGGGAGCACCCUGGGUUCGGAGAGGUAGCACCCUUCUCCGUGAUCCCGUCUGGAAAGGAAGGCUCGGAGGAAGUCUCGGUCGAGGCUCGGGAGCACUCUGAGUUAUUUUGCUCGAGACGGGACCUGAUGCCGACUCGUCCGGCGAGCCGGCUUAUAUACCGCUCUGGCUGCUCUUACCUUUCAAUUUUCUCGGUGGGAAGUGGGUUUCCCCACGGUGGGGAUUACACGGGUAGAGGCACUCUAAGAGCGCCGGACUGGUGAUGAUUAUUGAGAACAAUAUUAAAAAAUAUUAAUUCAAAUAAACCUCUAAUAUUGCGUUCUGAUAUCAUUAGCAACAGCUAUAAAAGGUUUGCAAAUGGUAAAUUUGGUAUACAAACGGUUAAUGAUAAUUAGAAAAUCUUUCUACGAUUCUAAGAUACUGACAAAGUGAUACAACAAAGCUCUCAUGAUAUAAGUAUGAGGAACAAAAUAAACACAUUAGUAUCUGAUGAGUCUUUUGUUUCAUAUUUAUAUCAUACAGGUUAUCAAAGAAAUAUUCAGAUAAAUAUAAACGGUUUUUCAGGAAAAGCAAACAAAACCAUAAUAUGUGAUAAUUCAAAUAACAAUAAGAUUAAUAUCUCCAACUUAAAAAAUAAUUCUCAGAAAAACAUAUCUAACGAUGACAAAUGAUGUCUCUAAACAUUAAAACUUUUAGCAAGAUAUACUUAUAUCAUAUGAGAAUGGAAGGAACCAUGAAAUUUAUAUGGGCAGUAAAGAUUGUGAUACUCAAGAAAAUGAUGAAAUUCCAGAAAAUUAUUUUACGUGUUUGAUGUUGACACAACAUUUAAAGAUUUGCUUAAUCCGAAUGAAAAUAUUGAUACUGAAAACGAACAUAUGAAAAUCUUAAUUUCUUCUACAUAUAAUUGUUCUAUAUCUGAUAAUAUGAAGAAAUGUUAGAGAAUUAAUAUUUAAUUCUAUUGAAGAGCUAUCAGAAGACAUAAGAGAUAUACACGUAUGUUAUCUGCAGAUGUAGGAGAUAUACCUGUGUUAUAUCAGCAGCAUACUGUCAAUGAUAUGAUAUUUUAUGAUAACAAGAAAGAAUGUAGCGAUGAAGAAUAUGUAUCUGCAGAACGAAGUUUUUCACAUAAUAGUGAAUCUCCACAAAAUAAUAUUUCAAAUAAUGGCAUCCGCUUCUAGUUUCAAUGAAUCGCAAAUUAAUACAGUUAGUUCAUGCAAUGACGAAUUAAUGUAUGUUAAAAACUAAAAAAGAAUCGACUAAAUGAAACUGCUGUAUUUUCUGUAUAAAGUUGCAAUCACAACUCGCAUGACAUUUGCAAACUGUACAUUAUGAUGAACCUGAUGUUAAACAAUUUAUCAUUCUACUAAAACGAAAUCCGGAAAGAAGAAAGAUAAUAAAUACUCUACGAAAUAUGGGUAAUUUCAAAUAUAAUACCAAUUCUGACUUUAAUAUUGGACAACUUAUCGUGUGUAGAUGUCCGAAUGAAAAAGUUAAUAAAGUUGCAACUGACUUUACUGCUUGUCUAAAGUGUAAAGGUUUUUUCAUCAAAAUUGCAGUACGACAUCACGCUCGAAAAUGUUUUGAAAAAGAUUCUCGAAAGAAUCAAAAUGUUGUAGCUAUUGGAGGAAAAAUUGCAGAUACAAUACAUCAACUAGCAAAUGAGACUUUAAAGAAUACAGUAUUUCCAGUAAUGCGAGAUGAUAUAGUAACAUGUAUUGUGAGAUAUGAUGAAUUAUUAAUCAUAUAUGCUAAUAAGUUAUGUGUCAAAUAUAAAUCCCAACCAGCACGAUAUGAUAAGGGCAUGUUUAUGCGUUUACAUCUUAAUAAAUUGAUCAAUUUAUUUGAUUAAUUCCUUACUCAGCGAAAUUCUUAUUGCUAAAAAUCAUCCCAAGAAUCAGCCAAGAAUCGAGCUUGGAUCACUUACUUUCCUUCGUAUGAGUGUUUUAACCAUUCGAUAACAUGUGCAAUAUUUACCACAAUAACCAGAUAA